rnacentral:rRNA from 1 species
AUUGAACGCUGGCGGCAGGCCUAACACAUGCAAGUCGAACGAUGAAGCCCAGCUUGCUGGGUGGAUUAGUGGCGAACGGGUGAGUAACACGUGGGCAACCUGCCCCAAACUCUGGGAUAACUCCUCGAAAGAGGUGCUAAUACCGGAUACGAACUAGACAGACAUCUGUACUAGUUGGAAAGUUUUUCGGUUUGGGAUGGGCCCGCGGCCUAUCAGCUUGUUGGUGAGGUAACGGCUCACCAAGGCUACGACGGGUAACCGGCCUGAGAGGGCGACCGGUCACACUGGGACUGAGACACGGCCCAGACUCCUACGGGAGGCAGCAGUGGGGAAUAUUGCGCAAUGGGCGAAAGCCUGACGCAGCGACGCCGCGUGAGGGAUGAAGGUCUUCGGAUCGUAAACCUCUUUCAGUAGGGACGAAGCGAAAGUGACGGUACCUAAAGAAGAAGCACCGGCUAACUACGUGCCAGCCGCCGCGGUAAGAC